UAGAACUCAAUUCUUUACCCUAAGCUUCAUUCGGCCUCCAACUUCAAUUUCUGAAAGAAUAGAUUUCAUUUGGAGUCGAAAUCACAGAGAAAUCACCUAAGAACUGUCAUGUUGCAGAGUUUGGGUAAUGAACAGAUGAGGUGUUGCCGUUGAUCUUGGUGUUGAAUGGAGGGGAUUAACAAGUAAAAUUUUCAAGAAGUAGAGAGCUCUGAAAAGGAAUUGAACUACAGAGACGACACCACUUUCACAUUGCGUAUCACGGAAUACUCAGUUUUGAGGGGACAUUCUUAAAGUAUCAGUUCAUUUCAGUUUUUGUUGGACAAGGGAAGUUCUUCGUUUGCUGUACUUAUUUGGGGAACACGGGCCUUCAAACAUUUUCAUGGAUGAAACUAUUGGAUCUGCUCGUAUGGAAUCUGGGACUGGUACUGGCGAUAGUACAGUGCGGUGAACGAGCUCGAGCUUGUCAAUCAGCUGAUGGAUUUGUAUCAUCAUACAAGAUUAUAGUACACACGAUAUUUCUUGAAGUUUGGAUAUGCCUCCUUGGUGCAUCUUAAACCUUAACAGGUAAAUCUUCCUGGUUCCUGCCAAAAAAAGUUGCUCUUCAAAGGGUCAAGUGUUUAUGCAAGAUGACUCCCCCACCCACAAAACCAAAUUCUUGUAGUAGCGAGCCCUUUUCCCGAAUCACUUGCUCCCUCAACAAAACUCUAGCAGCCACUAUUUGAAAUUGCCAUGAGGUAAUCGGAGAUAAAGAUAUUCUUACCUCAAUGGAUCAAUCAUUCAAGACCUUUUCAUCAUAGAAGUCUAAUCCUUUUAAAAAAGAGUCCCACAUCGAUAACAAAGGCCUUGUAACUCUUUAGUAUCUCUUGGUCUUCUGAUUUGUUUCUAAGCUCUUAACUUAAACACCCUGGAAAUUCUUCGCCUGUCUUCACUCAUGUGCAAUACCAGAACAAAGGCCUCAGCUUGGGAUAUUCUUAUUAUGUGUUCUGAUUCACAAAUGUUAAUAAGACGAUCAACCUGUAUACAUAUUAUUUGGGUUCUUAGAUGUUAUCAGGUAACUAAUUGUGCACCUUUCCUGUGUUUUCUUCGUGCAAUGGAUACAUCAUU